GAUGAACGCUGGCGGCGUGCCUAAUACAUGCAAGUCGAGCGAACGGACGAGAAGCUUGCUUCUCUGAUGUUAGCGGCGGACGGGUGAGUAACACGUGGAUAACCUACCUAUAAGACUGGGAUAACUUCGGGAAACCGGAGCUAAUCCCGGAUAAUAUUUUGAACCGCAGGGUUCAAAAGUGAAAGACGGUCUUGCUGUCACUAAUAGAUGAAUCCGCGCUGCAUUAGCUAGUUGGUAAGGUAACGGCUUACCAAGGCAACGAUGCAUAGCCGACCUGAGAGGGUGAUCGGCCACACUGGAACUGAGACACGGUCCAGACUCCUACGGGAGGCAGCAGUAGGGAAUCUUCCGCAAUGGGCGAAAGCCUGACGGAGCAACGCCGCGUGAGUGAUGAAGGUCUUCGGAUCGUAAAACUCUGUUAUUAGGGAAGAACAUAUGUGUAAGUAACUGUGCACAUCUUGACGGUACCUAAUCAGAAAGCCACGGCUAACUACGUG
rnacentral:rRNA from 1 species